UAUCUCAACUCCACUUGACAAUGUCCCCUUAAAUACAGUGUAAUCAACGUAGGUACUUAUGAUAUUACUAAAAUCCUCACAAGCAAUUUCCAGUUCUGCUCGAUUUAACUUUGGCACCCCGGUUACAAAUGCCUUUUGCAACUGACCACUUAGCCCAGUCUUCCAAGGACCUAUCGUAGCCACUCCAUGGCUGCGGCACGUCCAAAGCAUGACUGCAACAAUGGCAAGUAGUGCAACGCCCAAAAGAACCAGAAGAUAUAUCCACCUUCCAAGCCCCUUACUUGAUUGCUUACUCACAGAAUCAGUUGGCCUCGUUGAGGAUGGUUGUGUAGGAGGGGUGGGUAAACUUUGAG
rnacentral:misc_RNA from 1 species